rnacentral:tRNA from 1 species
GGAGGGGUGGCCGAGUGGCUUAAGGCGCCGGCCUUGAAAGUCGGUGAGGUCUGAGGACCUCCGGGGGUUCGAAUCCCUCCCCCUCCG